rnacentral:tRNA from 1 species
CUGGUUUUAGUUUAUAAAAAUAUUAGUUUUGGAGACUAAAGUAGUAGUUACCUACUUUCCAGA